GACGAACGCUGGCGGCGUGCUUAACACAUGCAAGUCGAACGGAAAGGCCCUGCUUUUGUGGGGUGCUCGAGUGGCGAACGGGUGAGUAACACGUGAGUAACCUGCCCUUGACUUUGGGAUAACUUCAGGAAACUGGGGCUAAUACCGUAUAGGAGCUCCUGCUGCAUUGUGGGGGUUGGAAAGUUUCGGCGGUUGGGGAUGGACUCGCGGGUUAUCAGCUUGUUGGUGGGGUAGUGGCUUACCAAGGCUUUGACGGGUAGGCGGCAUGAGAGGGUGACCGGCCACAUUGGGACUGAGAUACGGCCCAGACUCCUACGGGAGGCAGCAGUGGGGAAUAUUGCACAAUGGGCGGAAGCCUGAUGCAGCAACGCCGCGUGCGGGAUGACGGCCUUCGGGUUGUAAACCGCUUUCGCCUGUGACGACGCGUGAGUGACGGUAAUGGGUAAAGAAGCACCGGCUAACUACGUG
rnacentral:rRNA from 1 species